rnacentral:rRNA from 1 species
UGGGGAAUUUUGGACAAUGGGGGAAACCCUGAUCCAGCCAUCCCGCGUGUGCGAUGAAGGCCUUCGGGUUGUAAAGCACUUUUGGCAGGAAAGAAACGUCGCGGGUUAAUACCCCGCGAAACUGACGGUACCUGCAGAAUAAGCACCGGCUAACUACGUGCCAGCAGCCGCGGUAAUACGUAGGGUGCAAGCGUUAAUCGGAAUUACUGGGCGUAAAGCGUGCGCAGGCGGUUCGGAAAGAAAGAUGUGAAAUCCCAGAGCUUAACUUUGGAACUGCAUUUUUAACUACCGGGCUAGGGUGUGUCAGAGGGAGGUGGAAUUCCGCGUGUAGCAGUGAAAUGCGUAGAUAUGCGGAGGAACACCGAUGGCGAAGGCAGCCUCCUGGGAUAACACUGACGCUCAUGCACGAAAGCGUGGGGAGCAAACAGGAUUAGAUACCCUGGUAGUCCACGCCCUAAACGAUGUCAACUAGCUGUUGGGGCCUUCGGGCCUUGGUAGCGCAGCUAACGCGUGAAGUUGACCGCCUGGGGAGUACGGUCGGCAAGAUUAAAACUCAAAGGAAUUGACGGGGUCAUAGCUGUUUCCU